GUGUAUUCGUAGCUAAAAUGCAACUGAAAGGACUAAGGUUAUGGAAUCAUGUAACGGGUCUUUGUAAACCUCAUGUAGGCUGUCUGCCAUACAUCAACCUGGAGCAGAAUACCUAAUUUAGGUGCUGGAAGUGUUGAAAAAGCUUGUCCGUGGCAAUACGCUGUAAAAGUAAAUACAUUCAAUAAAGAAACAACAGUUGAAAUUAAAAA